UACGUAGGGUGCAAGCGUUUGUCCGGAAUUAUUGGGCGUAAAGAGCUCGUAGGCGGUUUGUCGCGUCUGCUGUGAAAACCCGAGGCUCAACCUCGGGCCUGCAGUGGGUACGGGCAGACUAGAGUGCGGUAGGGGAGAAUGGAAUUCCUGGUGUAGCGGUGGAAUGCGCAGAUAUCAGGAGGAACACCGAUGGCGAAGGCAGUUCUCUGGGCCGUUACUGACGCUGAGGAGCGAAAGCGUGGGGAGCGAACAGG
rnacentral:rRNA from 1 species